GCUGACACAUCCCGGCCAAUUUCCGGCAGACCCUCCCUCCCAGACCCUCCUACUUCCUGGACAGCAUCCAUGUUGAAGGCAGCUUCAACAUGGAUGCUGUCCAGGAGGUGGGAGGGUCUGGGAGGGAGGGUCUGCCGGAGAUUGGCCGGAAUGUGUCAG
rnacentral:miRNA from 1 species